UACGGGGGGAGCAAGCGUUGUUCGGAUUUACUGGGCGUAAAGGGCGCGUAGGCGGCCACUGCAAGUCAGUUGUGAAAUCUCCGGGCUUAACCCGGAAAGGUCAGCUGAUACUGCAGGGCUAGAGUGCAGAAGGGCAACUGGAAUUCUCGGUGUAGGCGGUGAAAUGCGUAGAUAUCGAGAGGAACACCUGCGGCGAAGGCGGGUGCUGGGCUGA
rnacentral:rRNA from 1 species